rnacentral:rRNA from 1 species
CCUACGGGAGGCAGCAGUGGGGGAUAUUGCACAAUGGGGGAAACCCUGAUGCAGCGACGCCGCGUGUGGGAAGACGGUCCUCUGGAUUGUAAACCACUGUCCCCAGGGACGAAGAUGACGGUACCUGGUGAGGAAGCUCCGGCUAACUACGUGCCAGCAGCCGCGGUAAUACGUAGGGAGCGAGCGUUGUGCGGAAUUACUGGGUGUAAAGGGAGCGUAGGCGGGACUGCAAGUUGGGUGUAAAAUCUACCGGCUCAACCGGUAGCCGCACUCAAAACUGCAGUUCUUGAGUGAAGUAGAGGCAGGAGGAAUGCCUAGUGUAGCGGUGAAAUGCAUAGAUAUUAGGAGGAACACCAGUGGCGAAGGCGGCCUGCUGGGCUUUUACUGACGCUGAGGCUCGAAAGUGUGGGGAGCAAACAGGAUUAGAUACCCUAGUAGUC